AGUCGAGCGGACAGAAGGGAGCUUGCUCCCGGAUGUUAGCGGCGGACGGGUGAGUAACACGUGGGUAACCUGCCUGUAAGACUGGGAUAACUCCGGGAAACCGGAGCUAAUACCGGAUAGUUCCUUGAACCGCAUGGUUCAAGGAUGAAAGACGGUUUCGGCUGUCACUUACAGAUGGACCCGCGGCGCAUUAGCUAGUUGGUGAGGUAACGGCUCACCAAGGCGACGAUGCGUAGCCGACCUGAGAGGGUGAUCGGCCACACUGGGACUGAGACACGGCCCAGACUCCUACGGGAGGCAGCAGUAGGGAAUCUUCCGCAAUGGACGAAAGUCUGACGGAGCAACGCCGCGUGAGUGAUGAAGGUUUUCGGAUCGUAAAGCUCUGUUGUUAGGGAAGAACAAGUGCAAGAGUAACUGCUUGCACCUUGACGGUACCUAACCAGAAAGCCACGGCUAACUACGUGCCAGCAGCCGCGGUAAUACGUAGGUGGCAAGCGUUGUCCGGAAUUAUUGGGCGUAAAGGGCUCGCAGGCGGUUUCUUAAGUCUGAUGUGAAAGCCCCCGGCUCAACCGGGGAGGGUCAUUGGAAACUGGGAAACUUGAGUGCAGAAGAGGAGAGUGGAAUUCCACGUGUAGCGGUGAAAUGCGUAGAGAUGUGGAGGAACACCAGUGGCGAAGGCGACUCUCUGGUCUGUAACUGACGCUGAGGAGCGAAAGCGUGGGGAGCGAACAGGAUUAGAUACCCUGGUAGUCCACGCCGUAAACGAUGAGUGCUAAGUGUUAGGGGGUUUCCGCCCCUUAGUGCUGCAGCUAACGCAUUAAGCACUCCGCCUGGGGAGUACGGUCGCAAGACUGAAACUCAAAGGAAUUGACGGGGGCCCGCACAAGCGGUGGAGCAUG
rnacentral:rRNA from 1 species